CCUACGGGUGGCAGCAGUGAGGAAUAUUGGUCAAUGGGCGGAAGCCUGAACCAGCCAAGUAGCGUGCAGGAUGACGGCCCUAUGGGUUGUAAACUGCUUUUAUGCGGGGAUAAAGGGACUCACGUGUGGGUUUUUGCAGGUACCGCAUGAAUAAGGACCGGCUAAUUCCGUGCCAGCAGCCGCGGUAAUACGGAAGGUCCGGGCGUUAUCCGGAUUUAUUGGGUUUAAAGGGAGCGUAGGCCGCCCCUUAAGCGUGGUGUGAAAUGCGGGUGCUCAACAUCCGACUUGCAGCGCGAACUGGGGGGCUUGAGUGCGCCGAAAGUAGGCGGAAUUCGUGGUGUAGCGGUGAAAUGCUGAGAUAUCACGAAGAACUCCGAUUGCGAAGGCAGCUUACUGUAGCGCAACUGACGCUGAUGCUCGAAAGCGUGGGUAUCGAACAGGAUUAGAUACCCCAGUAGUC
rnacentral:rRNA from 1 species